ensembl:lncRNA
GCCGUCUGGGCGCGUUGAUGAGGCAGGCUCCGAGACUAGACAGGCUCUACAGGACAUCGAGGACAGACUGUUGGACCUGUCUGAAAAAAUAGCCCUGUGCAAAAAGAUCGAGAAUGACUUGAAGGACUUGCGUCAUGCCCUAAAAAGGAAAUCCCCCCAGGAUGUGUCCGCACCACUCCAGAAAUGAAGAGAAGAGGAAGACCCCUCCCACCUGCUGAUUGCUAUCUAACUAAAUGAAUGAAUUCUAUUAAAGUAACACAAAAUGCUUCACCAAGCAAACAUUUCAGUGACAAGGAUAAGGUUUUAUUAGUAUUAUAUUGCUCUCAAUUCAGAAAGUUACUCAUAUUUAUAUGAAACGCAUAAGCAAACAGUUUCACAUUAUACAUUCUUUAAAAAAUACAAAUUCUUAACAUUUCCUCACUCUUUGGGUGUCAAGACAUUCCUUUGGAAGCAUGUCGUUUUCCUCUUUCUCCCUGCCCCAGCUCUUCCUGGAAAAUAUAGCCUGUUUGGUGGAAAAUGUUGAUGGCAGAAAUUCCAAAGAAUCUACACUUGUGAACAAUCUGCUUCCAAACAAAUGUCGCCACAAUUGAUUUGCUGACACUACAGACUGAUGUAAAUAUUAGCCACG